CUUUGAAAUAUCUUGAGAACUGCAUUACCUUACUUAGAGAAAUACCAUCAGUUCUGAAACAUUGCUCCAAUAUUUAGAAAUUAAAACGUUUGUUGUUCUGUGACAGGCGCAGGGCAUGCCACCAACAAAGAGUGCCAUCUGGGCCAGGAUCCAGGGAGAGAAGGGACAGGAGAACAAAUGGCAGAUCAAAAGUUUGGAUCAGAAACUUAUGCAGUGUUUAGAGCAGGUCUGAACAUGGUGCACCUUUGAUUUCAGAGACUACUCCGUGCCUGGAUGAGUUUUGUGGACUGUGGAACACAAUAGUAACUGGCCCUAGGGGCAUGCAGAGGAACACUGGAUUACCAGAAGAGAAGGGUCUCACUCUGUCACCCAGGCUAGAGUGCAGUAGCAUGAUCUUAGCUCACUACAACCUUGAACUCUUGGACUCAAGCAAUCUUCCGGUCUCAGCUUCCUAAAUAGCUGAGACUACAGGCAUGUGCCACUACAUCUGGCUAAUAUUUUACUUUUUUGUGGAUAUGAGGACUCACCAAGUCAACCAUUCUGGUCUCAAACUUCUGGCCUCAAGCAAUCCUCCUGCCUUGGCCUCCCAAAGUGCUGGGAUUACAGAGUGUGGAAAAACUCUCCAGAAG
rnacentral:lncRNA from 13 species